rnacentral:rRNA from 1 species
GCUUGCGGCCGUACCACCCUGAACAAGCCCGAUCUCGUCUGAUCUCGGAGGCUAAGCAGUGUCGGGCCUGGUUAGUACUUGGAUGGGAGACCGCCUGGGAAUACCAGGUGCUGUAAGCU